rnacentral:rRNA from 1 species
AACGCGAAGAACCUUACCUGGGUUUGACAUGCACAGGACGGUCGUAGAGAUACGGCUUCCCUUGUGGCCUGUGUGCAGGUGGUGCAUGGCUGUCGUCAGCUCGUGUCGUGAGAUGUUGGGUUAAGUCCCGCAACGAGCGCAACCCUUGUCUCAUGUUGCCAGCGCGUUAUGGCGGGGACUCGUGAGAGACUGCCGGGGUCAACUCGGAGGAAGGUGGGGAUGACGUCAAGUCAUCAUGCCCCUUAUGUCCAGGGCUUCACACAUGCUACAAUGGCCGGUACAAAGGGCUGCGAUGCCGUGAGGUUAAGCGAAUCCUUUAAAGCCGGUCUCAGUUCGGAUCGGGGUCUGCAACUCGACCCCGUGAAGUCGGAGUCGCUAGUAAUCGCAGAUCAGCAACGCUGCGGUGAAUACGUUCCCGGGCCUUGUA